rnacentral:sRNA from 1 species
UGAAGUAAUUAGUGCCAUUGACCUGUCC